rnacentral:sRNA from 1 species
AAUACCCUGUAUAACCGAAGAUUUAAGUUUAUACUUGAAUGUCUUGUAGGUUGUAUGGAGUAUU